GAUGAAGAACGUAGCGAAAUGCGAUACUUGGUGUGAAUUGCAGAAUCCCGUGAACCAUCGAGUCUUUGAACUCAAGUUGCGCCUCAAGCCAUUAGGUUGAGGGCACGUCUGCCUGGGCGUCACAUAUCGUUGCCUGAUGCCAGUUUCCUCGUGAUGGGUGACUGUGCAGGGCGAAUGAUGGCUUCCCGUGAGCAUUGUUGCCUCAUGGUUGGUUGAAAAUUGAGUCCUUGGUAGGGAGCGCCGUGAUAGAUGGUGGUUGAGUGACGAACGAGACCCAAUCAUGUGAGACCCCUACCGAAUUUGGCCUUCAUGACCCACAUGCGUCUUUGGAACGCUCAUGACGAGACCUCAGGUCAGGCAGGGCUACCCGCUGAGUUUAAGCAUAUCAAUAAGCGGAGGA
rnacentral:misc_RNA from 1 species